AUGAAGUGCCCUUGUAGCGCCCACCCGACACCCCAAGCACACGCCCCCGGCGCUGCGGCGGCAUCCCAACUCCUCCGUCCGGCUAUCUCUCACCCCUCUCCGGUCAGCCGCGUUCGAGGCGGCUCGCCGGCGGGCAGGCCCACGGGUCCUGCCUCCUGCGUUCCCUUCCUCGUCGACGGAGGUGCGCUGCUCCUCCCCCGCUUUCCGCUCGGGCGCCAGGGCCUCCUAUUCGUCGCCUCUGCUGAGCGCGUUCGGCAUCGAUUGCAACCCGCGGCGGCGGAGGCGGCGGCGCUGGUUGCUGCGCGCGCGCGCGCCGAGCGUCGCAGGCGACGCCACUCGAUCGCGGUGCGCCUCUUCAGCGGACGCACGCACCACCCCAGAGGGCGAGUCGAGCUCGGCUGGAAUCGGCCAGCAAUGCCAACCGCCCGCCUGUCCUCCCUCUCCACCUCCUCCUUCAAGGCUCCUUCACGAGAGCGCCGAGCCCCCCUCGCCGCCUUGGCUGCCGCCACGGAGCGCGUCCGCGAGGGAACGCUAAGUCGGCAGGACGCGCACCACCUGUUCGACGAAUUGCUAGGCCAAGCCGCCGCCGUCCCGGAACGCGGGCUGAACAACUUUCUUGCCGCACUAGCCCGUGCUCCGCCCUCAUCUGCCUGCAGCGAUGGCCCCGGCCUUGCCAUUGCCCUCUUCAACCGCAUGUCCCAAGGCGCUGGUGCACGGGUGGUGUCGCCCACGCUCUGUACCUAUUCCAUCCUCAUGGACUGCUGCUGCCGCGCAGGCCGCCCGGACUUGGUGGUUGCCUUCUUCGGUCGCCUCAUCAGGUUGGGGUUGCGCUUGGAGGUCAUCUCCUUCAGCAAUCUCCUCAAGGGGCUUUGCAAGGCCAAGCGCUCAAAUGAGGCAUUGGAUCUGCUGCUCCACCGGAUGCCUGAACUGGACUGUGCGCCUGAUGUCUUCUCCUACAGCAUUGUAAUCAACGGCUGCUUUAAAGAAGGUGAAGUAGACAAAGCGUGCAAUCUCUUCCAUGAGAUGAUCCAACUGGGAGUUCAACCUAAUGUGGCCAUCUACACCUCAAUUAUCGAUGCACUAAGCAAGUGCGGAGCCAUGGACAAGGCAGAAGUGGUCCUUCGGCAAAUGGUUGAUCAAGGCAUUGGACCCAACAUCAGGACAUAUACUAGCCUGAUACAUGGAUAUUCCGCUUCGGGUCAGUGGAAGGAGGCAGUUAGGUUAUUCAAGAAAAUGAUAAGGCUUGGUGCUCUACCAGAUACCGUCAUGUGGAACUCAUUUAUGGAUUCACUUUGCAAGCAUAGAAGGACAAAGGAUGCUAGAGAUAUUUUUGACUCCAUGGCUGCAAAGGGCCAAAAACCUGAUAUUUUCUCCUAUUCUACUAUGCUUAACGGGUAUGCGAAAGAAGGAUGCUUCGAUGAUAUGACUUGUCUCUUCAAUUCGAUGCUACAGAAUGGUAUUCUACCUGAUCACCGUGUUUUCAACAUUGAU
rnacentral:rRNA from 1 species